rnacentral:rRNA from 1 species
UACGUAGGGGGCAAGCGUUGUCCGGAUUUAUUGGGCGUAAAGAGCGUGUAGGCGGUCAGGUAGGUCCGUUGUGAAAACUCGAGGCUCAACCUCGAGACGCCGAUGGAAACCAUCUGACUAGAGUCCGGAAGAGGAGAGUGGAAUUCCGUAGGUGUGAGCGGUGAAAUGCGCAGAUAUCAGGGAAGAACACCCGUGGCUAAGGCGGCUCUCUAGUACGGUACUGACGCUGAGACGCGAAAGCGUGGGGAGCGAACGG